ACAUAGAACAUGCGUAUUUGCUGUGACAUGAUAAAGCUCAAGGCCAGAGAUGUCUUGUGGGGCUCCCAAGUACUCCAACCUCAAGGAGGGCAUGUGGCAAAGCAUGGCAGGGAAUACUUUCAAAAGUGGAAUCCAGGAAGAAAAUUCCUUGGGAAACUUUGGACUGGAUUCUCAACAAACCCUUCAGAGAGACUUAAAGCUGGUAAAAGACCUUUUGCAAAAGUGAUCCCGGGGAGCCUCCACUUUGUUUCUCUGGAUAUUUCUCUGUUGAAAUAUAGGUGUCAAGCAUGUCCCAUUUUAGAUGCUCUUCAGACUUCAAAACAUUACCUUCCUGCUUUCAGGGAGCCAUUUCAUCAGCUUUUGUACUGUGUAUUCACUGCGGACCCUGCUGUUAUGCAAGGUACCACCAUGGCUAAAAAUUCACAAGACCAUUCUUAUUUGCACUGAUUUUUUUUUUUUUUUUUUUUUGAUCUGUCACAAUGUUGCUGCUUCCGUUUCAAAAACGUCUCAAAGCUUUGAUUUGAUUGCAGCUGGAUUCAAGGAUACCCAAAGCCAAGUUUGAUCCUGAAUUCCCCAAAUCAAAAGUAUUUCAUUUCAGAUGUAUGUUCUAUACCUGGCCAUAAUAAUGAACAGCAACCAUUACUAGAGCAUGCUUUUGAUUUUUUUUUAUUAACAGUCAUUUUUAUGAUUUGGAAACAUAAUUAGAAGAUUCCUAUUCCAGACUACAAAUCAAUGGAUUUGAUUCUACUACACAUUUGCCAAUAAAGAGCAAUGGUAUCAAAUGAA